GGGGGCGUUCUUGGAUUCGACGGGGAUAGUUCGAGCAUGGGUUGCGGGUAGUGGGGACGCGUCCGCUUCAUCAACGCUAAAGCCUAUUAAAUGGCAACCAACGUACAACUUUAGCAGCAGCCUAAGAAACUGUAUGCUAAGCUUCUACCUGGCAUCGCCCAUGUGCUAGGAUAGGGGCCCAACCUUAGUGGGAUACGCCAAUUGGUCUCCGCCUGGGGUCAAUCGGAAGAAGACAAUCAGGCUGACCUAGAUCGAAGCCGGUUACGGGGCGUCGGCCUAGGUGACAUCAAAACUGUGACUACACCCGUAGAAGCCUAUGUGCCGUUAUCUUCGGACAGGGGUUCAAAUCCCCUCGCCUCCAA
rnacentral:tmRNA from 1 species